UAGUGUAGAUAGAGUUUGAUCCUGGCUCAGAAUGAACGCUGGCGGCAUGCCUAACACAUGCAAGUCGAACGAGACCUUCGGGUCUAGUGGCGCACGGGUGCGUAACGCGUGGGAAUCUGCCCUUGGGUUCGGAAUAACAGUUAGAAAUGACUGCUAAUACCGAAUGAUGACGUAAGUCCAAAGAUUUAUCGCCCAAGGAUGAGCCCGCGUAGGAUUANCUAGUUGGUGAGGUAAAAGCUCACCAAGGCGACGAUCCUUAGCUGGUCUGAGAGGAUGAUCAGCCACACUGGGACUGAGACACGGCCCAGACUCCUACGGGAGGCAGCAGUGGGGAAUAUUGGACAAUGGGCGAAANCCUGAUCCAGCAAUGCCGCGNGAGUGAUGAAGGCCUUAGGGUUGUAAAGCUCUUUUACCCGGGAUGAUAAUGACAGUACCGGGAGAAUAAGCUCCGGCUAACUCCGUGCCAGCCCCGCGGUAA
rnacentral:rRNA from 1 species